rnacentral:tRNA from 1 species
GCGGAGGUGUCGGAAUUGGCAGACGAGCAAGACUAAGGAUCUUGUGCCAGCAAUGGCGUGUGGGUUCAAGUCCCAUCCUCCGCA